rnacentral:rRNA from 1 species
UUAGUACGUUGUUGUAGACCCGAAACCAGGUGACCUACCCAUGUCCAGGGUGAAGGUGCGGUAAAACGCACUGGAGGCCCGAACCCGUGCAUGUUGAAAAAUGCUGGGAUGAGGUGUGGGUAGCGGUGAAAUUCCAAUCGAACUUGGAGAUAGCUGGUUCUCUCCGAAAUAGCUUUAGGGCUAGCCUCGGAAUGUAGCGUGUUGGAGGUAGAGCACUGUUUUGGUGCGGGGCCCAUCUCGGGUUACCAAAUUAAGAUAAACUCCGAAUGCCAAUCACGUAUGUCCGGGAGUCAGACAGUGAGUGAUAAGAUCCAUUGUCGAAAGGGGAACAGCCCAGAUCGUCAGUUAAGGUCCCUAAGUGUGUGUUAAGUGGAAAAGGAUGUGGAGUUGCAUAGACAACUAGGAUGUUGGCUCAGAAGCAGCCACCAUUUAAAGAGUGCGUAAUAGCUCACUAGUCGAGUGAUUCUGCGCCGAAAAUGUACCGGGGCUAAACACACCACCGAAACUACGGGUGCCACGUAAGUGGCGCGAUAGGAGAGCGUUCUAAGGGCGAUGAAGUCAGACCGUGAGGACUGGUGGAGCGCUUAGAAGUGAGAAUGCCGGUAUGAGUAGCGAAAGACAGGUGAGAAUCCUGUCCACCGUAUGACUAAGGUUUCCUGGGGAAGGCUCGUCCUCCCAGGGUUAGUCGGGACCUAAGGCGAGGCCGAAAGGCGUAGUCGAUGGAUAACAGGUUGAGAUUCCUGUACCAGGUGAACAUGUUUGAACGAUGGAGGGACGCAGAAGGCUAA